GAGACUAGUAGCAGGUUUGAGCGCACAUUGCCAAUCCAAUUGGUACUUUCUUUCCAUUUAUUGAUUCUUAGCUCUUGCUUUCAAUUACUGAUUCUUUAGCGAUGUCAAGCCAUCAGGCAGUAGACCGGCAAGGGAACGGCUGUCUCGGUAUUCGUUCUUGAAUCAGUGACUGAGAGUAAGUAAGGGCUAGUGAUCAAUAAAAUCAGACUAGUGGGGCAUCUUACUUUUGUAUCUUGCCUUAUUCAUGCGACUUCCCCUGGCCACAAAGAAAGAGACCAAGAAGGACAUACGUGGCAUACUUCUCUGAGUAUGAACCCGGUGAACAAACAAGGUAAAUCUUUUAAUUUCCGAAUAAGGAAAAGCAUAAGAAGGAGCGUUAACCACUUGACCAAUAGGUACAGAAUUGUCCACUCAAGCCCCCUUUUUUUUUAAUAAAAAGAAAGGAAAGGGAUUAGAUAGGACGAGCUAAGUCAGCAGCAGAGUAGAAUUAAACCUUCUAUCCUCGGGAUAGGGCUAUGAAAGAACUCGUUCCAGCUUCACUUCAAGCACGGAACUUCAAGUCCAUGUAAGAAGGACCUAGGCAUUUAAGGUCAUCAGAUCAGUCAACGGCGGAGAAGGAGUAGCGACGGUUGCCCUCCGAUAGCACUGGUUCCGGCUUCGAUGGAGUUGAAAAAGCCUGUCUUUUAUUCAAGCAGCUAUAGCUCAGCCACUCAAUUACUUGUGAAAUCGAGCAGUGGAGAAGCUCGAGCUUUUAUACUAUAUGGAGAGGGAUCACCUGAGAUCAUGUCGUAGGGAUCAGAGAUCCUGAC